UACGUAGGUGGCAAGCGUUGUCCGGAUUUACUGGGCGUAAAGAGCGUGUAGGCGGCCAAACAGGUCCGUUGUGAAAACUGGAGGCUCAACCUCCAGACGUCGACGGAAACCGUGUGGCUAGAGUCCGGAAGAGGAGAGUGGAAUUCCUGGUGUAGCGGUGAAAUGCGCAGAUAUCAGGAAGAACACCAAUGGCGAAGGCAGCUCUCUGGGACGGUACUGACGCUGAGACGCGAAAGCGUGGGGAGCGAACAGG
rnacentral:rRNA from 1 species